UACAGAGGAUGCAAGCGUUAUCCGGAAUGAUUGGGCGUAAAGCGUCUGUAGGUGGCUUUUUAAGUCCGCCGUCAAAUCCCAGGGCUCAACUCUGGACAGGCGGUGGAAACUACCAAGCUGGAGUACGGUAGGGGCAGAGGGAAUUUCCGGUGGAGCGGUGAAAUUCGUAGAUAUUGGGAAGAACACCGGUGGCGAAGGCGGCUCACUGGCUCAUUACUGACGCUCAGGCGCGAUAGCGUGGGGAUCAAACAGG
rnacentral:rRNA from 1 species